GAGUAGCUUGCUACUUUGCUGACGAGCGGCGGACGGGUGAGUAAUGCUUGGGAAUAUGCCAUAUGGUGGGGGACAACAGUUGGAAACGACUGCUAAUACCGCAUAACGUCUACGGACCAAAGAGGGGGAUUCUUCGGAACCUCUUGCCAUUUGAUUAGCCCAAGUGAGAUUAGCUAGUUGGUGAGGUAAUGGCUCACCAAGGCGACGAUCUCUAGCUGGUUUGAGAGGAUGAUCAGCCACACUGGGACUGAGACACGGCCCAGACUCCUACGGGAGGCAGCAGUGGGGAAUAUUGCACAAUGGGCGAAAGCCUGAUGCAGCCAUGCCGCGUGUGUGAAGAAGGCCUUCGGGUUGUAAAGCACUUUCAGUUGUGAGGAAAGGUGGGUAGUUAAUAGCUGCUCGCUGUGACGUUAGCAACAGAAGAAGCACCGGCUAACUCCGUGCCAGCAGCCGCGGUAAUACGGAGGGUGCGAGCGUUAAUCGGAAUUACUGGGCGUAAAGCGUGCGUAGGCGGUUUGUUAAGCAAGAUGUGAAAGCCCAGGGCUCAACCUUGGAACUGCAUUUUGAACUGGCAAACUAGAGUACU
rnacentral:rRNA from 1 species